UCCGAAUUGGUGUAGUGGCCAACAUUUGACGCUCUCAAACUUCGUGGAACCGUCAAGCCCGGGGUUCGAUUCCCCGAUUCGGAG